rnacentral:rRNA from 1 species
ACGGGGGGGACAAGCGUUGUUCGGAUUCACUGGGCGUAAAGGGCGCGUAGGCGGGCCUUCAAGUCAGAUGUGAAAUCUGCCGGCUUAACCGGUAGCCUGCAUCUGAUACUGAGGGUCUUGAGUACGGAAGAGGAGAGCGGAAUUCCAGGUGUAGCGGUGAAAUGCGUAGAUAUCUGGAAGAACACCAGUAGCGAAGGCGGCUCUCUGGUCCGAUACUGACGCUCAAGCGCGAAGGCUAGGGGAGCAAACAG